rnacentral:rRNA from 1 species
GACGAACGCUGGCGGCGUGCCUAAUACAUGCAAGUCGAGCGAAUCGAUGGGAGCUUGCUCCCUGAGAUUAGCGGCGGACGGGUGAGUAACACGUGGGUAACCUGCCUGUAAGACUGGGAUAACUUCGGGAAACCGGAGCUAAUACCGGAUACUUUCUUUUCUCGCAUGAGGGAAGAUGGAAAGAUGGUUCUGCUAUCCCUUACAGAUGGAUCCGCGGCGCACGAGCUAGUUGGUGAGGUAACGGCUCACCCAGGCGACGAUGGGUCGCCGACCGGAGAGGGGGAUCGGCCAGACUGGGACUGAGACACGGCCCAGACUCCUGCGGGAGGCAGCAGUAGAGCAUCUUCCGCAAUGGACGAAAGUCUGGCGGAGCAACGCCGCGUGAGCGAAGAAGGCCUUCGGGUCGUAAAGCUCUGUUGUUAGGGAAGAACAAGUAUCGGAGUAACUGCCGGUACCUUGACGGUACCUAACCAGAAAGCCACGGCUAACUACGUGCCAGCCGCCGCGGUAA